rnacentral:rRNA from 1 species
GAUGAACGCUGGCGGCGUGCCUAAUACAUGCAAGUCGAGCGAAUGGAUUAAGAGCUUGCUCUUAUGAAGUUAGCGGCGGACGGGUGAGUAACACGUGGGUAACCUGCCCAUAAGACUGGGAUAACUCCGGGAAACCGGGGCUAAUACCGGAUAACAUUUUGAACCGCAUGGUUCGAAAUUGAAAGGCGGCUUCGGCUGUCACUUAUGGCUGGACCCGCGUCGCAUUAGCUAGUUGGUGAGGUAACGGCUCACCAAGGCAACGAUGCGUAGCCGACCCGAGAGGGUGGACGGCCACACUGGGACUGAGACACGGCCCAGACUCCUACAGGAGGCAGCAGUAGGGAAUCUUACGCAAUGGACGAAAGUCUGACGGAGCAACGCCGCGUGAGUGAUGAAGGCUUUCGGGUCGUAAAACUCUGUUGUUAGGGAAGAACAAGUGCUGGUUGAAUAAGCUGGCACCUUGACGGUACCUAACCAGAAAGCCACGGCUAACUACGUGCCAGCCGCCGCAGUAA